rnacentral:lncRNA from 1 species
UGUUUAUCAGCUUGGGUCGCAGAUGAGAACGCCGAAGGAUCACAUAUACUGAUGUUACUUGGUGCUUCAUGUGCACAUGCACAGUUGAGAAUGUGGACUACUUCCUGUUACAUUGCAAAAGUGGCAACACAGCUAUAGUGAGAGUGCUGAAUUGGUUGGGAAUACAGUGUACUAUGUCAGGCACAAUGAAGAAAGUUUCACAGCCCUAGGGAAGAAGGAAGAAGAGAUGUAGGGAUACGACAACAACAUACCCAAUAUAAUCCCACAAAGUGGGGUGAUAAAUGAAGAAGAGAUGUAGCUAUAAAUUCAAAAAGAAAAACCUUUUUUUUUGAGAUGGUAAAUUAAACAGAAAUGUUAUAAAAUGUCAUGUACUCCUCACAAAAGUGUUGUGAGAUCCCAAACAAUUGUAUGGCUAUUAAAAAAAAAUUGCUCUUACGGUUUUUACUUAUCCAAACUUCUGCUUCCAAGUUCCAACCUUUGAAAAUGAAUGAUACAAAAAAUUCUAUCUUGAUUUGAAUGUGUGAUCCCAAUUUAUUGGUUUAAAUACCUUGGGCACUAAGAAAGGUGUGAUCAUUAGCUUGAUCGCAGCUCGGGUCCAGUGCUGACAGCUGAGAACAUGAGAAUGUGAAGGAUCAGAUAUGUCAGGUGUCACCUGGGGUUUCAUGUGCAAAUUCACAGUUGAGAAUGUGGGCUACUUCCUGUAACAUUGCAAAGUGGCAAUACAACUGCGGUGAGAGUGUUGAGUUGGUUAAGAAUACAGUGUAUGAUGCCAGGCACAAUGAAGAAAGUUACACGGAUAGGCCUAGGGAGAAGGAAGAAGAGAUGUAGGGCUAUAAAAUUAAAACGAAAUAUAAGAAAUGUCAUAUACUCCACCCAAAAAUGUAAUGCAAUCCCGAACAAUAGAAUGACUAAAAAUUAAAAAGAAUUUGCUAUAGCUUUUCAUUUUCACUUAGCCAAACUUCUGCUUCCAAGUUCCAACCUUUGAAAGCAUGAUUCAGAAGACAAUUCUAUUUUGAUUUGCAUGUGUGAUCCCACAUUUAUUGAUUUAGAUACCUUGAACACCGAGAGAAGGGUGUGUUAUGAGCUUGUGUUGCAGAUUGGGUCCAGUGCUGACAGCCGAGAACAUGAGAACGCGAAGGAUCACAUACGUUAGCUGUCACCCAGUACAUGUGCAAAUGCACAGUUGAGAAUGCAGACUACUUCCUGUUAUAUUGCAAAAGUGGCAACACAACUAUGGUUAGAGUGCUGAAUUUUUGGAAUACAGUGGACAAUGCCGGGCACAAUGAAGAAAGUGACACAGAUACGCCUAGGGAGAAGGAAGAAGAGAUGUAGGGCUAUAAAUUAAAAAGAAAUGCUAUGAAAUGUCAUAUACUCCUCAAAAAUGUUAUGAGAUGCCAAAUAAUUGGCUAUAAUUUUUUUUUUAAAUCUCACAUCGUUUUCAGCUGGCCAAACUUCUACUUCCAAGUUACAACCUUUGAACGCAUGAUACAGAAGACAAUUCUAUUCUGAUUUGGAUGUGUGAUCCCAAAUUUAUUGGUUUAGAUACCUUGAGCACCAAGAAGGAUAUGUUUAUUAGCUUGGGUCACAACUCGGUCCAAUGCGGACAGCCGAGAACAUGAGAACGCAAAGGAUCACAUCUGUCAGCUGAUGCCUGGUGCUUCAUGUGCAAAUGCACAGUUGAUAGUGUGGACUACUUCCUGUUACAUUGCAAAAGUAGCAACACAGCUAUGGUGAGUGCGCUUAAUUGGUUCGGAAUACAGUGGAUGAUGCAAGGCACAAUGAAGAAAGUUACACAGCUAGGUCUGGGAUAUAAGGAAGAAGAGAUGUAGGACUAUAAACUAAAAAGAAAUGUUAUGAAAUGUCAUACACUCCUCCCAGAAAUGUUAUGAUAUCCCAAAUAAUAGUAUGUCUAUAAAUUAAAAAGAAUUUGCUACAGUUUUCAUUUAUGCAAUUAAAAAAAAUUGAUAAUGGUAACUGAUACAGAAAGACAAUUCUAUUUCAAUUGAAAUGAGUGGUCCCACAUUUAUUGGUUUAGGUACCUUGAGCACCGAGAAAUGUGUGUUUUAUUGCUUGAUUCGCAGAUGGGAUACCUUGAGCACCAAGAAAGGUUGUUUAAUAGCUUGGAUUUGUAACUCGGGCAGCACCAAGAAAGUGUGAUUGAUUGCUUCAAUUGCAGAGGUGGGAUAGCACCAAGAAAGGUGUAUUUAAUUGCUCAAAUCGCAGAUGGGGAGUGGUUCUGACAGUCGAGAACCUGAAAAGGCAAAGGAUCCAUAAGUCAAUUGUCUGCUGGUGCUUCAUGUGAAAAUGCUGUACUUCCUGUUACAUUGCAAUAGGCAACACAGCUGUGGUGGGAGUGUCAAAUUAGUUCAGAAUACAGUGGAUGAUGCUAAGCACCCAGCUGGGAUGUUCUCCAUUAGCACUAAUGUGAAAAAGAUAGGAAAAUUGGCAAAUAAUAAGCCAGACGCUCCGAUGUCAGCAGUAUAAAGUAUGCUCUUUUUGCUAUCUAUGUUGUAUUUAAAAAUGUCAACUAUGAUUAAACAUCCAAAAGAAAGUUUUAGAACACUUUCAUAGGAUUAGCUUUGAGAUCUUAUCUAAGAUUCUCAGAACAAGAAACAAGAAUCUAAUCAUUUCAAAUCAGCGAAGAAACAAAUCCAUAUACCAUCCAACAUUCGCCAACUAUCCAAAUCAUUCAAGAGAAACCCAGAUUGAGAGCGGAACGAGUGAAAACUUCCAAUAUUUGGGUCAACAAAACCGUUCAAUUAGUCAGUGCAUGCCUUUUCUGUUCUUGUUCGGAUGAAGCUUUAACCGAGGUUUAGGAUAGAAGUCGGACUAGAACUAAAAGAAUGAAGACUUUUAAAAUAGAUGCACAAGAAGGGAAAAGAAGGACAAGAAACUUUUUUUUAACUGGUAAAUGUGAAAGAAGAACGAGAAACUUCAUAUGUGUUGAGAGCUUAUACUUAAUUUCUCUUACUUUCCAAAUGUAUUUCAACAAAAACAAAGAAAAACAUAACGCCCAAAGGUAAGACACAGAAAGAAAGGAAACUUAUAGGCAAAUACCAAGGAUAUAAAGUUAAGGAUGAACAAUAAUCACAAAAAUCAGAGAAGAAAAACCAGAAAAAGGACAAAACUAAUUAAUGGAACAAGGGUUUGAGGGAGAAGUUACAUUACCUGGAUCCCUAUGUGCCAGCAAAUGCGCGGACAAGAUUUGCAGCAUACUGCAACUCAUUGGAAGGACCUUCCUACAAGGUCAUGCGAGCCAUCAAGGGCCCGCACUUAGGCGGGCCCAAUAGCUGUGUAUUGAAGUUCAUAAUUAGAAACCGCUAAAUAGAUUAACAAAAGAAUGAUUUUUUGCUUUUGAGACGAUGUGGUACAAAAUCGCAUGCAAAUCCUAUCAUACCUCCCUUCUUAAUAACUGCAUAUACAUUGCUGAAUUAAUAAAUUACCAUUUCUACAUUCAAAAUUUACAACUUUCCUUUACUACUUUUGAUACCAAAUCUACAAUAUAAAGUGUGUGAUCUCUAGAAAAGCGAUUCUCCUGAUCCUUGUUUAAGAUUGACAGAUUAUAGCAGCCUCCUAUAUUGAUUGUGGUUGAAUUAAUAUAUCUCUCAUACAAGUGCCUAAUGAAUGUGACUGUACAAGCUAAGUGGAUAGUCAUUGAGAAUUACAAUAGUAAUGAAUAGAACCUACCAGCUACCAUUAUCAUAAAAGUGGAGGAAUACAAAUUCAAAAAAAAAAUAGAUCAAUAGAGUACCUUUUUACACCCUAAUGCAAAUAAUUGCGACCGCUGAGGGGUCGCAAAUUACCAUCAAUUAGAUCAGACAGGAUAGAACAACCAAAGAGUACAACUGGCUUGACAAUGCGAUAUGCCAAUAUCUCCUAAAAGAGUGGGCAGUCAUUGCACUUGGUUUGUGAUAGAGAUAGAUAAAGACCAUAACAAAAUCCAA